rnacentral:rRNA from 1 species
ACUGCUCAGUAACACGUGGAUAACCUGCCCUUGGGACUGGUAUAACCCCGGGAAACUGGGGAUAAUUCCGGAUACCGCAUAUAUGCUGGAAUGCUUUAUGCGUCAAAUGGAUUCGUCCGCCCAAGGAUGGGUCUGCGGCCUAUCAGGUAGUAGUGGGUGUAAUGUACCUACUAGCCUACAACGGGUACGGGUUGUGAGAGCAAGAGCCCGGAGAUGGAUUCUGAGACAUGAAUCCAGGCCCUACGGGGCGCAGCAGGCGCGAAAACUUUACAAUGCGGGAAACCGUGAUAAGGGGACACCGAGUGCUAGCAUCAUAUGCUGGCUGUCCAGGUGUGUAAAAUACACCUGUUAGCAAGGGCCGGGCAAGACCGGUGCCAGCCGCCGCGGUAACACCGGCGGCCCGAGUGGUGAUCGUGAUUAUUGGGUCUAAAGGGUCCGUAGCCGGUUUGGUCAGUCCUCCGGGAAAUCUGAUAGCUUAACUAUUAGGCUUUCGGGGGAUACUGCCAGGCUUGGAACCGGGAGAGGUAAGAGGUACUACAGGGGUAGGAGUGAAAUCUUGUAAUCCCUGUGGGACCACCUGUGGCGAAGGCGUCUUACCAGAACGGGUUCGACGGUGAGGGACGAAAGCUGGGGGCACGAACCGGAUUAGAUACCCGGGUAGUCCCAGCCGUAAACGAUGCUCGCUAGGUGUCAGGCAUGGCGCGACCGUGUCUGGUGCCGCAGGGAAGCCGUGAAGCGAGCCACCUGGGAAGUACGGCCGCAAGGCUGAAACUUAAAGGAAUUGGCGGGGGAGCAC